AGAGAGCUAUUGUAUUUUUCCAAUAGUGUGUCUGGCAAGUCUGAAUGGCGUGAAUGCUGAAAGAACAUCAAGAAGGAUGCCACUGACGACUUCAUGAUUUAAACAGCGGAUUUCAGACAGAUUUCUUUCCUGAUAUCACUUCGUAUGAGAAACAAAAUGAUGGGAACUACGACAAGUCAUUUGGUGAUCAUUAACGCCUUAAUUAAACUGGUGUCAACCAAGAUGGAUAAAUAUCCUGAGUCACAAAUGGAAGUGGAUCCAAAGUAGGCUCGAGUACACAUCACCAUCUAUGCGGCCUGGUCAGAUCAGCGAAGAAUGGAACGGGUUUUCAUCGGGAGAUGAUGGCGGGUCAGGUGGACAGGAGAAUCUUGCUUGGACAGCAUCUGCAGAUCUGCAUGUGAUUAUAUCUUACGCACAAGAAUCAACCCGGUGUCGACAAAGACAUGGUGGCCAACGAUCAGUGACCACUUCAUGCAUCAUGAGCCACAAACUUGAAGUGGAAUAGGCUUAGCCUCGAGUAUUGUCAUAAUCACCGUCCGUGUGGCCUGGUCAGCGAGGAAGGGAACAUUAUUUUCAUUAGGAGAUGAUUGUGAGUAAGAGAAUGUUGCUUGGAAGUCAUCCGCAUGUGAUUAUUUUACAAUGGGAUGGGUGUCUUACAUCAUUGUUGCCGUCCAAUUCGAUUUGUGGCCUGGACAGCGAGGAAGGGAACAUAUCAUUUUCAUCAGGAGAGGUUGGCGAGUAAGGUGAAUAGAAGAAUGUUACUUGGAAGUCACCCUCGUGUGAUUAUCUUACAAUGGGAUGGUGUGCAACAUCAUCGUUGACCGUCCAAUUCGAUUUGCCACUGGAGAGGACCCAGUUUUACCCUGUGAGGGAUGUGGAUGCAUGGACUGCUUUCGACGAAUAUACCAAGCUGAUACAACGGUGUGAAAAGUUCACUGGAUAAAAAAAUCUCAGCAUGGUGAUUGGUGUUGUGAUCAAGGAUCCAGAUGGUCUCCUGCAUGUCCUCCUCCGGCCAGAGCAGGGCCCCGUCUUACAAAGAGUUACGAUCGAUCCAAUCAAUCGUAACUCUAUGGAAAUCCAUCGGUGUCAUAAUUUCUUCUACAGGAAAUUUGCAAAAUGUCCUUUGUUAACAAAUGAAAACACACCAAAUUGUCAAGAAAUCAAUGACUUUAUGGAUAUACAGUCAUAUCUAAAACAAUUUUUGAACAAACAUGCAUUUCAUAAGUUGACUUUGCUGGCUUUCCAUAGUUGCGAUGGAUCAAUCGCAACUCAUUGUAAGACGGGCCCCCGGGGGGGCCACUUACAUUGACGAGUGGAUACCAUGCGCGACCAAAAAAACACGUAAAAAGGAUGUCCUUUUCACGAUAGGGCACGUUACGUACGUAACGUGAUAAGGGUGUCAAAAACACAAAAAUAAUGAAAAAAGGGUGUCUAUUUCGCCAGGAAAAUUACGUGUUUAGGGUCGAAUUUGCGGGAAUGAUAAAACAAAAUUAAAAUGUUUUAUAAAGGAUGUCCAUUUUGCCCCAACACUUCGUGUUUAGAGUCCGAUUUGCGCGAGGUGUAGAAGGUGGGGUCGUACCUAAACCAAAUAAGGUAAAGCCGACGACCGAAGGACCCGUAACAAUAAAACAUUCCUGUACUUGUUUAGGGGUUCAUUUCAGGGAAUAUUUGCCAAGAGUGUCGUUUUGUUUCCAAUACUUGUUAAGGGUAUGGUUUCACACGCCAAUACUUGUUAAGGGGUGCAUUUUCAGAAUAUGGAAAUUACGUGUUUAGGGUGCUUUUCGAGACCCCAUGGUCGCGCAUGGUAUCCAUUCGUGAAUGGAAGUGGCCCCCCCGGGGACGGGCCCCAGGAGGACUAUACGUUACAUGACGGGAACGUUCCCGUUGAAUGCAUGCAACAGUAGCGAGUUUUUGCAAUCGAUACGGGAACGAAUUCUAUAACUUAAAAAAACUAUUGAAAAUGCACGUCAAAUCGCAAUGAACAUCUGAGAGGUCUUUGUCGAAAAUUGGCGAACCGACCGGGACAGCUGAUCGUCGUAAGAUUCGGAGCUGACGAAAAAUUGCAAAUAUGUCGCUGUCUAUAGUCCAGGACGAAACUGCUAUUUUGAUUCACCGAUUUUCGACAAAGACUGCUUUAUCAUGAAGGGCUUUUGACAACAGAUUUUUUAAGUUCUAGAAUUCGUCCCCGUCGCGAUUGCGAAAACACCCUAUUAUAGGACGAAAAUCAUGGUAAAAGCAGGUCAACCAAAUUUCGUUUACCCUCCACGCAUGUGGCAACUACACUCUUCUUCGUGAUCUUAAAAAAAUAUAUUUUAUGGCUUUACUUGCAAAAGAGAAAAGAAAAGAGGGGAUGAUGUAAAUCAUAACCUUUAUAAUACCAAAGUAAAUGCACAAAAAAAUGAAGCUUGGGGUGAAAAUUCUACCCUUUUUUUCUCUCAAUCGCUUCACUCCUGUGAUUUUUAUGAGAUUCUGAAAACACUCUACAGCACUUGUAGGUUAAAGGUAAAAAUUGCUACCGUAAUUUUUUUAAAGAAAAAUAUGAUGCUUUCAAUAUUAUGAAGGAAACCUAACUCCGCAGCAUAGCCGAUUGAAAUAGGUGGGACAGGAUAAUUUCCCAUACCGUUGUAGUAGGUCCAUGUCAAUACGUACAUGUAUAAUAUUGAAUGUGGGAUAAGACCAUAGGGUCAUAGACAACAUUAAUAAGGGGAAGAGGCAAUUGUCCCCUUCCUUCUCCAUCCCGGUCCGAGGAUUGUGCGGAAGCUUGCACUUUUCUUUUGAAAAUUUAAUUUCAAUUCACCAAUUUGUUCACAAAAUUAUCCUCCAAUUUCACCGUUGAAAUGCAAAUGCCGUGAUGGUAGCUCGAGUUCCUUGCAUUAGAGUUUCUUUUAGAAAAAUAUGACGUGUCUCUCCAUGUGUACGGCUUAGGUUUCCGCCAAAAACUUUCAUCCUUCCCCUCCGGAACUGCUUCAGGUAUUACAAAAAAUAACAAAACUAGGCAUACACUGAAAGUAAAGGGUCAAGAUGGUCAAAUCUUUAUAUUGUUACUUAUUGAUAAUUUUCUGUGUUUCCUAUUUUUAUGAUUUCGUUUUUAGUUUUACAUAUUGCGAGUAGAAUUAACGAAAAUGACAAUUGGGCCAAUCUACUUCCACCGGAUAUGCUGUGGAGUGCGGACUUAUGUUUCCUUUGUGGGCUGUUAGUGCAAUCAGGGUAUAUCAUAAAAAGUCUUGUGCAUCAUAAAAGAUAAGCUAUUGGACACUGCAAAAUACAGAAAAAGACACUACACUUCACGUUGACUUCCGAAAAUUGACCAUACCUGGCAUUUUAGGGCCAAAAUUACUGUAUCAAAUUCGUUUUUUCCUUGUUUCGAACCAGCGCAUCUCUAUUAUUUCUUAAAUUGUUUAUAAGCCUAUAAAUUCUCAAAAGCUACAGAAAUUUAUUUUUUACCCGACUAUUAACUAAAAAAAUGGGGUGCCAAUUCCGUCCAAAUGUUCUCUCCGAAUUCGGCAUUUUUAAGCUUAGUGAUACAUUUCUUGAUUGAUAAUGUUUUUUGUCAAGAAAACUUGUGUAUUAUUAUGCAACAUUAUCUUAGAAUGUUCACUUUGCCCACUUUCAUUUAUUUUUCAGACAGUACCCAUUCCACUGGUGUCAAAUCCAUUUUUGUCCAAAAGUGUCGUAUGCGAAAAAUUAAGCAAUUGGCAUAUAACAUCUAAUUUUUUUUUUUAUGAACCCCUACAAAAAUAUAUAUUAGUGAUCGUGUAUGUCUCAAAAGGUAAAAGAAAUACCAUUUUACAUGUUACAACACACACAAAAUUAAGAAGAAUUUUAUUAUUUUAAUUUUUGUGUCAAAUGAGACGGCUGUGAUACCUAUCCUGAUUGUAAAACAACCCAUAUAACCUUUAUAAAGAUAUACAACUGUUGAAUACUCCAUGUGAAUUUGGAAUGUCGUAAUUCAUAAUGCCUUUGCUAAUCUAUGUGUAUAAUGUUUUAUAAAAUAGUGAUUUGGAUCCUUGUUAUUUAUAAUGAUUAUAAUAUACAAUAUUUAUAUAGCGCUUAAUACAAAUGUUUCUAAGCGCUUCAUGUUAAUUCUCCGACUUUAUUUAAUAAACAACUCUCAUAUCAUCUCAAACCAUGACCGGUUAACAGAACUAGGCAUUAGAACCGGUUGUUGGUAAAAAUUGUAUGUUAGCUAAAAUCAAAUACAGUCAAAAUUUCAUAUGAUAAUGAUCCAUAUCACUAUUUUAUCAAGAUGAGUAAAUAAUCAUGUUACACCCUUCUUUUGGCUGAUUGUAUUUAUUCUCGUUACGGUCACUCUCACCCCCACCCCGCAUUCCCCCCCACCCCCUCUCCCCCCCCCCCAUCUUGCUCUGUAUCGCUCAAUCUUGUUCUCUUUCGCUCUCUUUCUCAAGCUCAUAAUUUUUGUGUGUUUCCAUAUACAAAACUUUGUUCUUUGUUUUCUUUUCUUUGUAUUGCUUAAUAUUUUUUCUUGUAGAGUAUCCUAUUCCCCAUCUCUCCCAUCUCCCCCCUCUCUCUCAUUCAUUUUCUUUGCUUGUCCCUAUUAAGUUGCAUUCAUGCACCAAUUACUUCGUUGUUAAUCUUCCCAACUUUCUUUCUUGACAUCAAUUAGCCUCCCCAUCACUCUUUUCGUUUCUUUAAGAACUCUCCUCUCAACACCAUUCUUAAUAAUUCAAUCAUUUUAUUUUCGACAAUUUCAAAUAACGAAAAAACGUCAUUCUUUUAUCCUUUAAAAAAAUGAUAAUUAGUUCUUCCCAUCUAACCCUUUUCACAUCCGGGCUAUCUCGAACUCGCUCCUGAUUUUUCCAGCUUCUUUCUCAAUCACAUUUAUUUUAACCCACUGAUCCUUUGUCAGACUAUCUCAUCAUCCUAUUUACCUUCUCUGUGACAACCCUUUUUUUUUCUUUUCCUUUAUUUCUUCCUCUCUAUCGUCUCCGUCUCGCUCUCCCCCUCUCUUUAUUUCUGUUCCUACUUUCCUCUCCGUCUCCAUCUUCCUUUCUCUCUCUCUUCCGCCUCUCCCUUGCAUGAAGAAAAAAGAGUGAACUUCAUGGAAUGCAAAUAAAUGAAACCCGAUCGAUCAACACAAUUCAGCAAAAAAUAAUCUUUUUUUUAAACUUUCAGUUAUCUUCAGAUUCAAAACCUCUUAUGAUGGAUGUAAGAAACAUUGUGGAAAAUAAUUUUAUCCUACCUAGACGGAGGCCCUGUAUUCUUUAGCUUUGGCAAUUUUGAUACAAUAUGCAUAUUUUUGCUUUUUUUAAUUCUUAUAUUGUGCCUCUUUGAAAUUCUCUGAUAAUUAUUCAAGAAUUCAAAUUGUAUGUAAAAAAACCAUGCAGCACAUUGUCAAAAAAUAAUCUUUAAAUUCAAAAUGCAAUCAAAAAUCAAAAUCAUUCAACAAAAUUGCAUUACAUGAAGUUCACUCUGUAAAUAAACCCCGAAAUACCUCUAUUCUUAAAUGAAUAUAAACUUGGAAUGAUGCAAAGUGGGUCAAUAAACGUUUUACCUUUAAUUUCUAUUUUGCAUUGAGCAAAAAAAAUCUUUGAAACUGACCGAAGUUGCUAUUAUUGGUGUUUAUUAUUUUGGAAAUAUAUUGAAUAAUUUAAUCUCACGAAACAGCCCAGAAAUAGCUGCCAUGUUAUUUUACAUCUCAAUUUUUUUAAAGGAGGAAAAUUUGGCGUUAGAUUUCAAUCCACUUUGCAACAUUUUACCUCGUCCUGAAUAUGGGAUGGAAGGGGGGAGGGGCAGAAUGACCCAUUGAGACUUGCACAUAAAGAAAGGAAACAAUUUUUUUAGAACCACAUAAAAAUUACCAACCAAGAGGACAUGGUGGCUAACCUGUCAUAUAAGUUUAUUUUAUUGAUUUUAAAUCCAUACAAAGGAUUCCAAUUAAAGAAAAUUAAAAAUUUUUAGCAAAUGAUCAAACAGUUACAUUAGGUAAAAAAAACAUUUUCUAAAGAGAAUAAUUGACUUUCCUUGGUGGCAAUAAGAUUUGUUGUAAUUCACCCUACCCCCCUUUCGUAUCAAUGUGCAGUUCUCAAUGGGGGAAGGGGAUCAAACCUAACCUACUGCAAGCCAAAAUCUGACAUUAUCCUUGUAAGUACUGAAUAAGAUGAAAUUCUUAUAUUUUAGCAUUUUACCAAUUUUGAAAGAAACCCUUCGCAAACUUAACAUUACCUUAAAAAUAUUUGUGUGCUUAAAAAAAGCGACAAAUGACAAACAUAAAUGCUACAGAUAUCAGAAACAAUGUCAGCUCUGGCUUGCACAUGGGGGCGGGGAGAUCACAAUAGAUAACAAAGGGGCGGGGAGAUCACAUAUAAAAAAAGAGGGGCGGGGGUCAUAAUAGAUAAAGGGGGCAGGACUAUCACAAUAAAAAAAGAAGGGCGGGAGGUCAUAAUAGAUAAAGGGGUUGGGGAUAAUCAUAAAAGAUAAGGGGGUGGGGAGAUCACAAUAGAUAAACAAGAGGGACGGGGAGAUCACCACGGAUGAAAACAGAUACUCAAAUACAAGCGAAAGACAUGAAAAUUUAUAUUCCAAGGUAUUUAUUUCAAAUUAUACGCAAAAAAAAAAUAUUAAAAAAAAAUGACCAGCAGUCGAGAAGACUCAUCCAAGUUAGAGUUACCAUAGCAACCGACCUUGAUUCAAUGAAGCAAACCCUAACACUCACAAACUGGCCAACAGCCUUAUCUGAGCCGAGGUCUUCCUGACAGAAUCACACAAUACAUGGCAGACUAACAAAGAGUCCUAUUUUUUAAGUGUGCAGAGCAGGGCACUGGACACUGCCAUGCACGGUCUACUGCAUCUUCAACGUAGGUGCUUUAUAAGUUCAAUCUCAAUGACACUUUGUGUAGUCGAGAGUAUGCAAGACAAUACCAAUUACCAUAUGAAUCAAUAUGUUAAUCUCCUUUGUAUUCUAGUUAUUCACCCUUGAACAAAGCCACCACCUCACUACCAACCCCUCCCCUCUAUUCCCCCUCUUCUCCUUACAAGUUUACCAGUUAAUCCAUUGAUUGUUCUCUCUCUCCAUACCUCCCUGUACUAUCCAUCCAAGGGAACAGUUCAUGGAGAUUUUUGUCAGUGACUUUCACCAACAGAGUUAUGAGCUAAUGAAUCACUGUAUCUGAUUGGUCAAUAGCAAAUUAGUUGGUGAUAAUCACUGACAAAUCUCAUGAAAUGCUCCCCAUAUCUGCAAAUCUUCCUUCGUUUCACAUCAUUUCAACAUUUAAAUACAUGACUGAUAUGAAAAUGUUCUAAUUUAAUUAAACCGUAUUAUGAAUAAUCAUUUUUUUAAAUUGCUAAUUAAUAAUCAAUCGUAUCAUUUCAUCAUUGUCUUUUUAAUUUUUGUUUAUUUCAUUUUUAUUGUAUUUCAUUUAUUUUUUUAUUUGAUUUCAAUCUAA